rnacentral:lncRNA from 1 species
AUGAGGAAUCAUAAUGGUCAGAAUGGGAACAAACUGACCAAAGGGCUUACUGGAUGAAGCUAACCAGAUAGAGUGAGACCAGAGAGAAGAAGUGGCCCAGGAAGUCAUAACCUCCUGUUCCUGACUUGGACUUUCUCCUUUGUCCUAUGUCUGGAGACUUCUUGGAAGCUGGAGCACACAAAUAGCUACAGCAAACUUGAGGAAUGGGCAUGAAUAGACUGGCUUCGGGGAACCUGCCAGCUUGGCCGUGUGGCCAAGGUAAUAGGCAAGCCAAGGCAGAGCUAGAGCUCAGAGCUGGAGGGGAAAUUAAAGCAGCAAAUGUAGAAACAUUAAGCCUGAAGAGGCGACGACGUUGAAUUCUAAAAUGCAGGCCAAAGCUCAGACUGCAAGCUGUCUGGCUGCUCCGGGUGUGCCCAGAAGUCAAAGUCCAGCAGGGGCAAAGGUGGAGGUGUGGUCCUGCACGUGGGGUGUUGGGGGGAUGUGGAAGAGGAGGUGCUUUAAGAUCCAGAGAUUCCAGCUGCCCUGGUGCACCCUUGGAAGAAUAAAAGGCUAGGAACUGGACAAGUCAGGCUCGAGUCCAAGCUGCCUGAGGAAUCGGGGAAAGAAUGGAGCUCAGAGUGGGAGGUCAGGGCAGUAUUUAAAAAUCCAGGAUAGCAGCAAAGCUGGCGGUGGCCCCUGACUCUGGUAAGGGCAGCCUGCAGCACCAUGCCAAGGGGGGCCUGACUGAUCAUGCCCUGCAUUUGCAAACAAGGAUUAGUAGGGUAUGAGUAGGAUUCUGCUGGUGCCUGGGAAGGCAGUGCCAUCUACAACUUUACAAAGUUUUAACAAAGGCCUGAAGGACACAACCUUCCCCAAAGUCCUGACGUCGCUGUUUGCUGGCAACAAAUAGAGUCAAAAGAAGAGAGGCACAGAAUGUGCCAGGGGUGUGCUGCGUACAGCCCCGAUGACCACAAGGCCUUCUUGGGUCAAGUUCUGCCAUCUCUGGUUAAGAUGGGCUCACCCUCUAGGACCCUGAUUGAGUCCUCGGACCACCAAGAGUGCCCCACCAAGAGCCUCCCUCUUCUGGUGACUCGUGCCUGCUUCCCGUGGAGAGCUCCAGAAGGGAGGAAACUGUGAGGAGGUGGAGAACGUGGCAGGGAUCCUAACUUUCUUACUGAAGGAAGUUCUUCACAAGUACCCAUCUGCCUUCAGGGAAGAAAACAUAACUCAUUUUGGUCUUUCAAAUUCAGUUCUCAAAACCAAAUCCUGUUGUCAGCAAUCUGUGUCCCAACGCCUUCUUCAGCAACAGCAUUUUCCCUGUGGAAUUAGUUUCCAAUGUUCUUUCUUAAAUAAACCACUGAAGAUUAAAAGGAAUCCAGAUACCCACCACAU